rnacentral:rRNA from 1 species
AACGAACGCUGGCGGCAGGCUUAACACAUGCAAGUCGAACGCCCGUAGCAAUACGGGAGUGGCGGACGGGUGAGUAACGCGUGGGAACGUGCCCUGAGGUACGGAAUAACUGCGGGAAACUGCAGCUAAUACCGUAUGAGCCCCGCAAGGGGGAAAGAUUUAUCGCCUUAGGAGCGGCCCGCGUGGGAUUAGCUAGUGGGUGGGGUAACGGCUUACCAAGGCUUCGAUCCGUAGCUGGUCUGAGAGGACGAUCAGGCACACUGGGACUGAGACACGGCCCAGACUCCUACGGGAGGCAGCAGUGGGGAAUCUUGCGCAAUGGGGGCAACCCUGACGCAGCCAUGCCGCGUGAAUGAUGAAGGCCUUAGGGUUGUAAAGUUCUUUUGCCCGUGACGAUGAUGACGGUAACGGGAGAAUAAGCUCCGGCUAACUUCGUGCCAGCCGCCGCAGUAAAAC